CCAUCCCGAACACGGAAGUUAAGCUUUCCAGAGCCGAGGGUACUUGCUUGGCAACGAGCCGGGAGAGUAGGUCGUCGCCGUAA
rnacentral:rRNA from 1 species